rnacentral:lncRNA from 1 species
CUCACGAUGAGUGUAGCUGUUUUCUCUUCUGAGGCUGACAGGAAGGCAGUAGCAGCAUGUUUUCAAGAGAUGCCACCAGUACUUGAAUUCUAUGAGUUGGCCAGCAACAAAGAAAGUGGCUUGAAAGAGCAAGAAGUGAGUAGUGACACCCAAGGUGGGCGAGUGGAAUAUAAAAGCAUUCUCCAGGGUUCUUAGUAAAAUUAAGGAAGCGGAAUGUGAAAGGAGGCAUGCAUGACUGCAGUCAUGCAGGAUGGAGAGCUGAAUGAUUUUUAUUUGGAAAUUAAAGAAAAGGCCAAUUCAAAAGUCCUGAAAACUUGAGGACCCUCAGACUGAAGACUCUUGAGUCAGAAUCCCCAGCUUCAAAUCCUAGCAUCUCCACUCAUGUCCAUGUGACCAUGGGCAAUCUCCUCCACACCUUCAAGCGUCUGCAUGAUGUGGAUAUGAGGUUUAAGACCAGAAAGACUGACUCCAGAGCCCAGGCUCUCAACCAUCAUACCAACUGGCCUCCUUUUGUUGAAGGCUGAGGACCAUAUGGCAAGCAUGAAGACAAUAUGAUUGGCACCUUGGUUCUGUUUGAAUCGUCCUCAUAUUACAAAUCUCCACUCUGAUUUACUUUGUGUAUUAUUAAACACGCACCAUAUAUUGUUUUUUGCUGG